AUGAUUGUGAACCGGUUGCCUUCAGUGCUGGCUCAUUUGAGCAAGUGCACGCUGGUGACUUUCAUCCAAUCCCACACCCUGUGAACCUUUGGCCUCUUGCUAGCCUUGGCUGCAGAGGAUUUUUACAUACAUAACCGAAUGUAAUGAAACUAUUGUUGUGCGCAAGCACUACUAUA
rnacentral:misc_RNA from 1 species